rnacentral:rRNA from 1 species
GUUGGUGCUUCGUCGGAGGGGGUACACCCGUUCCCAUUCCGAACACGGCAGUUAAGCCCUCUUGAACCGAUGGUACUCGCUGUUACAGGCGGGGAGAGUAGGUAGGCGCCAACA